UGGUGGUGGUGGUGGUGGUGGUGGUGGUGGUGGUGGUGGUGGUGGUGGAGAGACAUCAUAAAGCAUACGCUUUCAAAACAUUUCUCCAAUGCACAAAAGCGCGCUGCAUCAUCACCAUCAUCGCCAUCAUCAUCAGCAACA
rnacentral:pre_miRNA from 1 species